rnacentral:misc_RNA from 1 species
GUAUAAGUUUACCGACGCUUUGUUAAGGCGAAGAUAUUGAAUGACAUUCUAUGAGACAUGCGAUGGGUUGAUGAUAAAGACGUAGGGGCCUUGUUACGGGCCCUUACAUUGGGUUCACAGGUGUAUGUGGAUUUAAGGGCUCGGGCGUGCACAUGCCUCGAAAGGGAGGCCAGCUACAACCCUCGCUUAUAAUUCAAUAAUGAUCCUUCCGCAGGUUCACCUACGGAAA